UGCAGUGAGUGUGCUGGGUUCCUUACUGAAGUAUAAAUACCUUCAGAAAAGCGCACAGAUCAUAAAUUGAAUUUAUGAGCCAAUGCACCCAUAAUGGAGGACUUAAAAGACUUCACCCUGUGGCUAAGCCUCGGAUGCCAGCCUUGAAUUUCCCGGCUCCCUGCACCCGGCCGCACAGUCAGAUCUCGAACAACCCGACCGUGUUUGUGUGGCGACUGUUUCGGAACAGCAGUUUGAAAUCUAUGGAGGAACGGAAAGGAGGAAGACACUGUCAGGAGGUUGAGGCCGAGAACAGAGAAGGAAACCGGAUGUGCUCCCUCUGGUGCCUGGCCGGUGGCCGUGGUGUGGUUGUCCCCGGCUCUGGGUCUUCACUCACUGCUGAUCUCGCUCAGUCUCUAGAG